AAUGAGGCGGGUUCUUCCGGAUGCCUUGCUGGAAGUUUGUUUUGGCUAUGCAGGCUUGAAUGGGUCUCUGUGUCCUGCUUUGAGCGCUGCUGUUGUGUUCUUUGAGGGGACCUCAAGUAAGCUCCGUUUUUGAAACAUGGAUGCAGUGACUUAUGAUGAUGUGCAUGUGAACUUCACUGGGGAAGAGUGGGAUUUGCUGGAUUCUUCCCAGAAAAGUCUCUAUGAAGAGGUGAUGUUGGAGACCUACCAGAACAUCACUGCUAUAGGCUACAAUUGGGAAGACCAUCAUAUUGAAGAACAUUGUCAAAGUUCUAGAAAACAUGAAAGGCAUGAAAGAAGUCAUAUUGGAGAGAAACCCUAUGAACAUAAUCAAUGUGGGAAAGCCUUUGGAUGUUACAAUCAUCUUCAAAUACAUAAGGGAACACAUACUGGACAGAAACCUUAUGAAUGUAAUCAAUGUGGUAAAGUCUUUUCACAACAGAGUAGUCUCCAAUAUCAUAAAAGAACACAUACUGGACAGAAACCUUAUAAAUGUAAUCAGUGUGGUAAAGUCUUGUCAUGUCACAGAAGUCUCCAAUAUCAUAAAAGAACACAUACUGGAGAGAAAACUUGUGAAUGUAAUCAAUGUGGUAAAGCCUUUGUAAGACCCAGUCAACUCCAAACACAUAAAAGAACACAUUCUGGAGAGAAACCCUAUGAAUGUAAUCAGUGUAGUAGAGCCUUUGCACAUCACAGUAAUCUCCAAUAUCAUAAAAGAACACAUACUGGAGAGAAACCUUAUGAAUGUAAUCAAUGUGGUAAAGCCUUUGCAGUUCAGUAUAGUCUCCAACAUCAUAAAAGAACACAUACUGGAGAGAAAUGUUAUGAAUGUAAUGAAUGUGGUAAAGCCUUUGCAUUUCAGUAUAGUCUCCAAUAUCAUAAAAGAAUACAUACUGGAGAGAAACCUUAUCAAUGUAAUCAGUGUGGUAAAGCCUUUGCACACCACACUAGUCUCCAAUAUCAUAAAAUAAAGCAUACUGGAGAGAAACCUUGUGAAUGUACUCAAUGUGGUAAAGCUUUUGCAAGACCUAGUCAACUCCAAAACCAUAAAAGAACACAUACUGGAGAGAAACCUCAUGAGUGUAAUCAAUGUGGUAAAGCCUUUGCAGUUCAGUAUAAUCUCCAAAAGCAUAAAAGGAUACAUACUGGAGAGAAACCUUAUCAAUGUAAUCAAUGUGAUAAAGCCUUUUCACAACAUAGUAGUCUUCAAUAUCAUAAAAGAACACACACUGGAGAGAAACCUUAUGAGUGUAAUCAAUGUGGUAAAGCCUUUGCAGUUCAGUAUAGUCUUCAAAUACAUAAAAGAAUACAUACUGGAGAGAAACCUUAUCACUGUAAUCAAUGUGGUAAAUCCUUUGCACAUCACACUAGUCUCCAAUAUCAUAAAAGAACACAUUUUAGGAAGAAACCUUAGAAUGCAAUCAAUGUUGUAAAGACUUUGGAUGUAAGACUAAUCUCCAAAGACAUAAAAGAACAUAUACUGGACAGAAACCUUAUGAAUGUAAUCAAUGUGAUAAAGCAUUUGUAAGUCACUGUCAUCUACAGCAACAUAAAAGAACACAUAGAGGAAAGAAACCUGGUUAUUGUUUACAUAUUGACAUAAGGAGAUACAAGUAUGUUCAAAUUGACAAGGAAUAUCCAUUGUGAUUGGUACUUUUGUUUUUUAAUAUAAGAUCUAAAAUGGAAAGCAUAGGUCCAGGCAUGGUGGUACAUGCCCUUAAACCCUAGGAGAUGAGCAUCAAGCAGAUCUCUGAGUUCAAGUCCAUCCUGAUACAGAACAAGUUUCAGAUGAAGAAAAGCUUAGGUCUAGGCCCGUGGAUACAGAGCCUUGCAAAUCUCUGAGUUCAAAGUCAAUAUAUAGAGCAAAUUCCAGGACAGCCAAGUUGAGGCUGUAAAGGAGUUGGAGAAGAGAAAACUGGUGAUAAUGUAAUAGAAGGGGCCCUGUCCCAGUUCCACCAAGCAGCAGAACUCAGCAGCUUUGUCCAUGUGGCUCUGGCUUUAGAAGUAAAAAUAGAAGGGGCUACUGGAAAAAAGGAUGCUUGUUAGCUGUAGCUAAGAGAUUAGAAGUGAUGAAGAAGAGACCAGUAUCACUGAGGUGAAAUCUUCUAGGAAGUGCUUUCUGAGAGGACAAAGAAGCUGCGUACCAGAAAUAGCCAACAUUGUACCUUGUGUUGCAGCUGAACUUGGUCACAUGUAAGAAUCACCCAGGUGGUACUGAUUUUGAAGGCAUGAAGGUGUCAUGCAGAGGCUUGACACCAUGAAGGGGAGCAUAAGUGAGGCUAUCAGUGAAGCCUAGUUGCAACAGAAGAACCCAGCAUAUUGAGGAUGCCAGUCCAAUGGGAUGAGCAG